rnacentral:rRNA from 1 species
UACGUAGGGUGCAAGCGUUGUCCGGAAUUAUUGGGCGUAAAGAGCUCGUAGGCGGUUCGUCACGUCGGCUGUGAAAUCCCGAGGCUCAACCUCGGGUCUGCAGUCGAUACGGGCGGACUUGAGUACUGCAGGGGAGACUGGAAUUCCUGGUGUAGCGGUGAAAUGCGCAGAUAUCAGGAGGAACACCGGUGGCGAAGGCGGGUCUCUGGGGCAGUAACUGACGCUGAGGAGCGAAAGCGUGGGGGAGCAAACAAGG